rnacentral:lncRNA from 1 species
GGAUCGUCACUACCAAAUUCUAGCAUUUAUAGUCAAUGUUAAUUCCAAUCUUGACGUCACGUAUCACGUUAAUUCAUUAACUCAUUAAAGUACAUAUUCACUUUUUUCCUUCAAACUGGUGAAAAUUCAAAGCAAAAAAGCGCAUGUGCGAUCAGUUGAGAAUAGUCUGUUUUUCUCUGGUUACGUGCCUUUAAAUCGCAAUUGCCAAACGCCAAAAGGGAAGAGAAUCACAAGGAAAUGUGAAAACGUCACUUAAGGUGGGGUAAGAAUAAUAUAGCCCUUGUAAUUUUCAACGUCAUAGGCUAGUGGCGUGCAUUAGGGGGACACAAAUUCUUAUAAAAUGAAGACAAAUCAAAAUUGGAACCAGUCGAGUGGACUCAUCGAUCGGCAACGGUAGGAAGGAGAGUGUCACACUCACACAGCCGUUCACUAUCCAGUCCACAUAAUCUUACAGUCAUGGUCCUAAACAAAAUGAACCAAUUGAACCACGUUCGACUAACUACCCGCGUUCUUCCGAAGACAAAACAAACUCUGCAACGACUCUCUCCAACAUUAACGAGACGAUGGAGUCACCGAAACUGCAUCUUGUGCAGCUUGAUACUCGAAUCGCCUCAAUGUGUCCCCCAUAACGGUCAAAAUGUAGAGAGUCGCGACACUGCCAGGAUUACAGAGAUCACUAGUUCAAGAGAGAGCAUUGCUUUGGAUGCCUUGCUUCUUCGGACCACGGGUAAUCGUCUGAAAGGAGUAAAUUUAAUUAUUUCUGAAAUUUGAAACAAGAAUGCAGCCAGGAUAGCAUGAGCCAGGGACGAGACAAAAUUAUUCAGUGAAAAAACCGUGCUGGUUGUUACACCGCUGUUUCUACUUUACGCAUUCGAAAGGCACCCUUCUGCAGCCAUCGUUUAAAUCUGAAUCCACCUUUCUUCUUGGUGAUAUCUGCGUUCUUUUGUAUAACGUCCGUGCUGCAGAUCGGGUUAAUCUUCUUUGCUUCAGAAAUGCCGCUGGCCUCCGUUACGACCUCCUUCAAUGCAGUGGUGUUUGCCUUAUUUUGUGUGCUGAGGUCAGCACUGCCCUUCUCGUCGAUCUUCUCUGCUUGAAUGGUGCCGCCUGCCUCCGUUACAACUUCCUCCAAUGCGAUGAGGUCUUCAGGAAGCGCUGCCACCUGCCCUUCAGCCGCUUGUACUGGCUUGGGAGAAGCCAUCAGAACCUCGUUCUGUCGCGUUGUUAGUCAAUAUUGCAACAUCACAUUCCGAUAUAGCUGAUAUUCCACCAUCUUCAAAGUUCUUUGAGACUCCUUUUCCGCCUGCUGCAUUGUCGCUAUCGUGGAAGUCAAGUUCACGUUUUCAUUGUCUAUGUCGCGUAACUUUGCUUCUAAUUCAGCAAUUUCUUCAGAUGAUCGUUGGCUCACAUCAAACGUACGUUCUAUGUUAUUUCGUUUCCCUCGCGGCCGCUUGCUUUUAAUCGGAUCUGUUUCGGUUCGCCGAAAGGUUCAAUCGUUCUGAUGUUUAUCUAUCAUAUCUGAGACCACUACUACGUGCAGUAGCCUAGUUAAAGUGGGUCAAAUUCACACUGGCUGGAUCUGGACUGUUGGUCGUCCACACCCCCAAAUUUCAAGAUUGUUUUUCUUUGCUUUAUUUUUUCAAUCUUCGAGACAUGCAUUUUUAAUAAACCUUUUUGCUCAUA